CUUAAAAAGGGUUUAGAGAUUACUUCUUUGAAUGUAGAAUACAAGAGGCAAAGCUCCACCUUAAAGAGUCUUACACAAAAACGAGAAAGAGAAAGAGAGAGAUGGUGUUCUUCAAGCUUCAAGAGGUGC
rnacentral:sRNA from 1 species